GUCCAAGAAAAAUUUUAGACGAUCCGUGUCCGGGGCCCGGAGCCACGACAGAAGGCGUGAGCUAUAGCACACGAAAAUUUGGUACUCGCGCGAAUUUCAAAUUUUAUAGCCGUAAUAUCCCAAAAAAUGUAAUUUGGUCAUGGAGGGGCGGUGACUAUGGUUCCUUUGCUGUAUUCGACGUCCACGAAAAAUUUUAGGCGAUCCGGAUUCAAAGGCCCGGGGCCAAGGCGGAUGGCGUGGGAUAUAGGACACGAAAAUUUGUGACUCGCGCGGAUUCCCAAUUAUACGGCGGUAAACUCCCAAAAAAUGUUAUUUGGUCAUGGCG
rnacentral:lncRNA from 1 species